rnacentral:rRNA from 1 species
GACGGAAGGUGCAAGCGUUGCUCGGAAUCACUGGGCGUAAAGGGUGCGUAGGCGGCCGUGCAAGUCUGGCGUGAAAGCCCCGGGCUCAGCCCGGGAAGUGCGCUCGAAACUGCGCGGCUCGAGUGCCGGAGGGGAGAGUGGAAUUCCUGGUGUAGCGGUGAAAUUCGUAGAUAUUCGGAGGAACACCAGAAGCGAAGGCGGCUCACUGGCCCGAUACUGACGCUGAGGCGCGAAAGCGUGGGGAGCAAACAGG